rnacentral:lncRNA from 1 species
UCAACAGCACUUUCAACGCUGUGGGGCAAACACCACUGUCCUCAGUUUACAAAUAGGAUUUGAACCCAGGACAGUCAGUCUAGGGGCCAGUGCCUCAGACACCAACACGGAUUGGGCCCCCACCAGUCACCCUGGGUGGGAGGGGGUGGGGCUUCUGGGCAGAGGUAGGUGUGGGUGGGGCUGCCAGCUGGGCAAAAGGAGGAGGCCUGGAAAGAGCCGCAGAACUGGGGCAAGUGGACUCCACCCCCACCACCGUGGGCAUGUGAGCAGACAAGAGGACGACCGGAACCCAUUGCGGGAGGAGAUGCUGGCUCAGUCGGAAGGCUGUGGAAUGUUCCAGAGGGCUGACUUUAUGCAGUUGAUUGAAAUGCCCUCGUCGGGCAGCCCUUUCUCCGUUGGACAGAGCCGGCGCCAUCUGCUCUGUGAAGCAGUUGAAUUACAGAUCUGAGGGUUGAAGAGUGGCCGGCGGUGGUGAAGAGCUCCAUGGUUAUGCCAUUUUUUAAAAAAUUUAAUUCUAUAAGGAACAUCUGAACAUAUCCUCAUUGUAAAAAAUUAAAACUUUAUUGAUAACAUUGAAGCCUCCUGAACCCCCAAAAGUAACUGUUGUCACCAGUCUGUGUGUAUCUUGCAGACUUUUUUCAACGCAUUUGAAUGUAUACAUGCAGAAAUAUAUAUGUAAUAUAAAGAAUACAAUAACACAGAAAUGCCUAGAAUACAUGAUUUAGUAUACCUCCUCUGCUCUCACUGGCCUCCCCACUGGGGCUCUGGUUCUCCCUCGAACCCGACCCCACUCCCCAGUCCCUCUCUCUUGUGUGUCCAGGUGGUCAGGUUGUAAGAUGCCAAUGGCAUCUGUGGCCGUGGCAGUGAAAGCAGCCCUGUCUGGUACCACGUUAUCAGAGGCGAGGACCCCAAGGGCCUCCUCUCAGUGUCCAGCCAGGAGCUGCUCAGAGACGGGUUCCAGAGCUGUGAGCUGCUUCUGCAGGCGUGUGAGCAGCUGAGGCAGGAGGUGAGGCUACCUGGGGGCCCUCUGAGCCCACCGCCCUGGGCAGCCACAGCCCUGCCCCCUCCAAGGCUGCCCUCUGGCACUGGGCACUCUGCUGAACAUCACACCCAGAACCCACCUCCCUGAGCUCUUUUGCUCCUCCUAGCACAGAGGCGUGAACGCAGACUCAGAGAGGCCAUCACCCCCAGCACACUCCCGCCUUGACUGGCCCAAAAGCCCGGCUCAACCCACUGGGCCACGUU